rnacentral:tRNA from 1 species
UCCCUGGUGGCUCAGAUGGCAAAGCAUCUGCCCACAAUGCAGGGGAGACCCAGGUUCAAUCCCUGGAUUGGGAA